AUUUUGGAAACCAAACUACGUCACGGAAAGUUUAGAAAAUGCAAGAUGUUUUCACAUACGAUUCAAGAAAUUUCCGAAUAUUUUUGUCGACCAACUAUUAAUAUAUAGAUCGUAUUUAUUUUCUUGGUGGACAAACAGCCGUACCACUCCAAUAAAAGCUAUAGAGAUGCGAGACAAGAAGAUAACUUUGAUUAAGUAUUUGAGAAGUCAAUCUAUAUUAUUCCGUAAAGAAAUAAUGCCCAAGUGUUUGGUUUGAGUGUAAUAAACCUUAAGAUAUGCAUUAUAACAAAUAUUGAUACGUAUACUAGAGUAAAUAACUAAUUGAAAAUUUUAAAUACUUUUAUCUUUAA